rnacentral:lncRNA from 1 species
GUUUUGUGGCCCUCUGCUUCUGUAGGGAUGCUACCUCCUCAAAGGAGAGGAAGAGGAAGAAUUUUACUACCAAAAGUGUUUUGGAAACAUUAAGAAAAGCAAAGUGAAAUUGGGUAGACUCCGACCACUGAGUCUGUUACAUGUACCUGUGUAUUUUGAAUCUCCAAGACAGUACCACAGGUCUGGAUCUUCCCCCUCCCUCUCCACAAGGCUCCUGUCAAAUUCCAGCUCUUCCAGGAAGUCCUCUUACAAAUGCCUCAGGUCCUCCAGGUUGGUAAUAUACCUUUUAGCACAGCCGUUCUCCAGAUGUUUGAAUUUCAUGGGAGUAAGUUCUUUGAGAAGAAAGAAACACUACCUCUCCAACACCACUUGGGAAGGUCUGAUCUCACAGCAGAUGCCAAGGAAACAGUUGCUAACGUUCAUCUCCUGUUACACAUACACACCCAGCCACAGAGCCUGAGCAUUUGCUCCAGCACCAUCUUUGUGUGGCUGAGGCCAGUCUGGUCUCGGCUUGAAUGUCACCUUGGAGAUGACUCCCUAACCACUAUAUCUUAGGUAGACCCUAUCGCAUUGCCCUGUUUUAUGCUCAUUGUAUCAUUUGGCAUUGUCUGCAUGGUCACUUUUGUCCAUAUUUCACUUCUCCCUGCUUAGAUGAUAAACUUGCAGAUAGCAGAAGCCAUCUCUUUUAGACUCAUCCUCAUAACCUUAGUACCUAGUCCAGUGUCUGGCAUGUGGCAAGUGCUCAUUUUUGGUUAAAUUAAGAAAGGAACAAAUUAUGCAUUCUUACGCAGUAAUCUGAGAAGUUACUAUUUGAAAGAUGAGAAAACUGGGGCCCAGAAAAGGGAAGUGAUUUGCCCUAGGUAACUCAGAGAAGCAGCAUCAGAGUUGGGACCAGAAUCCAGGUUUAUCAGAUUCCCAGUCAAGCAGUAGCUCCAUCCCACCAUGAUUGCUCUUGGUCCUAACUAAUCCUUCACUCCCACCUCCCUGCCCCAACACUCCACCACCAUGUACACACAUACACACAGCCUCCAUUACCCGCUGCUUACCUUCUGCCCUGAAUAUCCCUCGCUAAGGUCCACAGCAAUCUCUGGCUCGGCCCAGAACCAUGCAGGUCACACUGAAGUUUUCUCCUAGUUAUACUGAUGUUGCUGAAGCUUGGAUGGUGGGUUUUGGGGAGGAAGAUGGGUCUGCCAUGGUUAAGAGGGUAGAGAAGUUAGAGACAAACAUGUUGACUUGAUUGUUAGAAUUGUUGAAUUGAUGGUAGAUAGAGGGAUGGAGAGAUGGAUGAAUAGAAUGAAUGGGCAGAAUGGCUAAAUGGGUAGAGGGUGAAUGGUUGAGGUGGUUGAAUUGAUAGAGGAUGUGUAGAUGUAUGAAUGGGUAAAAUGAAUUAAUGGAGUAUGGGUAGGUGAUGGAAUGAUUGACUGAUGGAGGAUUCAUGCAUGGAACAGUUUGACUUGAUUGUGAAUAGGUCAAUGGAUAGAAAGGCUGAGCUGGUAUCAGCUGGUUCCAUGGCUGAUCGGCUGGCUGGACAAAACGGCUGACUACAUAGAGAGUCAUCAAAAGCUGAUGUUGUUUAGAGCUCCAUAAUCCACAGAGCCGAAACCAGAGGUUCCUGAAGAAGGUAUAUCUCCCCAUAUCCUCCCCUUCCCUGCCCACCCAGAGCCCUAGACCCAUGUGCAAUUGAUAUAGACCAGAAUGUACUUGGUAGAGAUUUGUCUCAUGCCACCUAGGCUGGCCAUGCAUAAGAGGGAGCCAGCCAAGGAAGCCUGGGCCUGGUGAAUAGUGAAGCCCUUCUUCACAUCAAAGGAGAUGUCUGUCUCCCACUGGGACCUCCUCAGUGGGGAGCUCCCAGUGUAGUGCCAUCUGGGCCAGGGGGUUUUUAACUUGGAAGGGAAGCAAGGCUGGAUGAUGAGUGCGCAGCUGUACCACCUCAUAGUAGUUAUCUGUAGGGACAAAGAGCUCCUCAGGGUCUGGGAAUGUGGGGAAAAAGAUUUGUUGCUUCCCAGUGGCUCUAUUACCACCCAGGAGCAUGAGGUCUUUCUUGGGGACCUGAAACCUCACUAUCUCUUCCCAUCCCCAUUCUCUAUGCUCCUUCCUGUCUCAUAAGGAAGGGGUCCUGGACUGAGGAUGCUGAAGACAAACUUCCUAGUUCCAGAUCUGUCAUUAGCUUGCUGUGUGUAUUAAAGAAAUCUUUCCCUCUCUGCACAUGCAAUCAUGCACAAUGCAAGGAUUCAGACUGCUUGAUCUUUAAGGGCCCUUCAAUGUAAAAAAUGCAAAAAAGGUUAUAGGACGGCCGGGCACGGUGGCUCAUGCCUGUAAUCCUAGCACUUUCAGAGGCCGAAGCAGGCGGAUCAUGAGGUCAGGAGUUUGAGACUAGCCUGGACAACAUAGUGAAACCCCGUCUCUACUAAAGAUACAAAAAUUAGCCAGGCAUGAUGGUGCGUGCCUGUAGUCCCAGCUACUUGGGAGGCUGAAGCAGGAGAAUUGCUUGAACCCGGGAGACGGAGGUUGUGACGAGCUGAGAUCACGCCACUGCACUCCAGCCUAGGCAACAGAGUGAGACUCUGUCUUAAAGAAAAAAAAAAAAAAAAGAAAAAAAGAUUACAGGAAAUACUGAACUUCUUGAAGUCAAAGUUUGGUUCCCAAUCCUACCACCUGCUAGCUGUAGGACCUUGGUUCUCAAAUGUCAAUUGGGAGCAAUAAUCCCACCCCAGCUUACUUCAUAGAACUGAUAAGAAGCAAAUGAGAUAUUGGCUAUGAGCAUGAGGCCCAUGGGACAAAAACAUUCAUCAAACUCUAUCAAGAGACUUUUUAUUUUAUUUUUUUGAGAAAGAGUCUUGCUCUGUCACCCAGGCUGGAGUGCAGUGGUGCCAUCUUGGCUCACUGCAACCUCUGCCUCUCAGGUUCAAGCAAUUCUUGUUCCUCAGCCACCUGAGCAGCUGGGAUUACAGGCGUACACCACCAUGCCUAGCUAAUUUUGUAUUUUUAGUAGAGACGAGGUUUCACCAUGUUGGCCAGCCUGGUCUCGAAAUCUUGACCUCAGGUGAUCCGCCUGCCUCAGCCUCCCAGAGUGCUGAGAUUACAGGCAUAAGCCACCACGCCUGGCCUUCAAAGUACUUUUUAACACCACAAUCUCAGGUCAGAUUCUUGGGUGCACUAUGAUGUAACGAGCAGGAAUGGUCUGGGGACCAGCUUUUAAGAGCGGUGCUGUCCAAUGGAACUUUAUGUGUUGAUGAAAAUGUUCUGUAUUUAUGUUGCCCAAUAUGUAACCACUCAGCAUAUGUGGCUCCUGGACACUUGAAAUACAGUUAGUGCAGCUGGAGAACUGAAUAAUUAACUUUCUUUAACGCUAAUUAACUUAAAUAGCCACAUCUGUUUUGUGGCUUAUGUAUUAGGUGAAGUUGGAAUCACCUGAGGUGCUUUUAAAAUGACCAAUUCCUGACCCCCAGACCAAGUGAAUUAGAACUUGCCUUGCGGAAAAGGGGAUUGGUGUCUGUGCUUUAAAGUUCUACAGGUGACCCUAAUUUGCAGCCAGAGUUGAGAAGCGCUGACUGUGGGUUCCCACCUCUGUCUGAAGAUUGGAAUCACCUGUAGGGUUUGUUGACAUGGCAGGUGCCCAGACUCCACACAGUCUUAAUGGGAGUGAGGCCCAGGAAUCUGUUUUCAACAGGCUCCCAGGUGAUGCUUGGUAGUAGGGGUCAUGAACCUCUAGAUAGGGCUGGGCGCAGUGGCUCAUGCCUGUAAUCCUAGCACUUUGGGAGGCCAAGGCAGGAAGAUAGGUUGAGUCCAGGAGUUCAAGACCAGCCUGGGCAACAUAGUGAAAUCCCAUCUCUACAAAAAAUACAAAAAUUAACUAGGUAUAGUGGUAUAUACCUGUAGUCCCAGUUACUUGGGAGGCUGAGGUGGGAGAAUCACCUGUGCCCAGGAGGUCGAGGCUGCAGUGAGCUGUGAUCAUGCCACUGCACUCCAGCCUAGGCAAGACCGUAAGACCCAGUCUCAUAAAACAAAACAAAAGCAAUAACCUCUCGAUUGGAUAAUUGUUACUGUUUUGGUUGCAUUUGAGUAAGAGACAUUGCUGACUAUGAAGAGUCCUGUGUUUCCUCUGUUGGACAAAGCUGGACUCUGUGACUACUCAGUUCUCCAUGGAACUAGCCAUAGAAUCUUUGAAUGUCCGUGAAGGAUCUUGGAGGACUAGUACACUCCCCUCAUCUUACAGGUGAGUCUAAAGAGAAAGCCCAAAGAAGGUUAUGUUUGGAGGACUUUCCUGGACGCAGGUUCUUGGAGACCCUGACUCCAGGGCACCUGUGAAGAAGAUGAAAGUCUUUCUCUGGUAGGCCAGGCAUUCAGCGCAUGCGCCGUCCUGACAGUGCGGAGCCCAACAGCUAUAUUCCCCGGUGUCUGCGCCAGAGGAGUUCACCAGCAGCAGCUGGCUGCACUGGCUGAAGUGCUUGAUUCUGAAAGACAGAUGGUAGGGGCGGGACGGGCAGGCGAUGGGGAUGGCCCGAUACUCCUAGUGGGCAGCAUUUGGUCUACUGACAGUCCUCCCUCCCAUCACCAACUUUCAUCACCCACCCACCCACCCAAUCUUUCCCCCUUUCUCAAUGGAUCUGUUAGGAUUUGCAUUGGCCCCACCCGUAGUUUCUGAUUGGCUCGCCUAACCCUCCUUCCCUUUGACUUUGCACUUCACGAAUGGAAUGCCACAAGCGUCUUUGUGCUCCUCGGCACCUUCCUGAUGUCUCUUGGUGCAAGCCUGCAAAUGCUUUCCAUGCACUUCCACCCACAAAGGAGGCAGAGUCCCAGAGCCAUCUUAAGAGGCUGAAGUGAGAGAGGAUAGGCGAAUCUUUGGAACCCAGUUUUCUAUCCCAGCCUCUGCCUGAUUUCCUUCUGGACUGGCAGAGGGAAAUACUGGUGGGUCAACUUUGCUUUCAUUUUUGGCCUCCCUAUUAUGGUGUCCUUGGCAGAAGAGUGGUAUUCAGCCUGCCAUCCGCCACAGAUAGGUCAGACAGGCAGGCAGCCUCUUGCUUUUCCAUUGCCACGUCCCUCCCUAGAGGCACUAUUUGUGGUCCACCCCCUACCCUCAUUUAAGCAGCCCAGGAUUGUGGGAAGGUUGCUUGUCUCCUACUCUGUUCAAUCACUAUGCAUCUGAUGGGGCUCGCGGGCCCAUCUUACUGUUUCUUUUAGGUGCCUAUGGUUGUACAUAACAGGAUGCCCAGUGUGGGUCCUGAGCCAUCUUAAUCCCUGUAAACUGUUGUCACUGUGCUUGUGAACUGCUGCCCAACAUCCUCUGACACACUCCUAGACCCAUUAAAAUUUUGCCAGAGUUCUUCCACCCCAUACCUCAGGCGUCCUUCGCCCCUCCUCCUCCAGAUAUACAGGCACCCUCCAGUGGACCACCUUCCCCCUGCAGUGCUGUUCCAGGGGCUCAAAGAGUCCCCAACCUUCGGGAAUCGGGCCUUCCCUACACCUGGGUCAGGUGGGGGGCUUGGGGUUGCAGAGGCUAUAGCCUCCAUGGGGGUCUUCAUCUGCAUGGGCUUCUGGCUCCCGUCUGCUUUGGGUUUUCUCUGGCAGGGGGCUCCUGAAAGCUGCACCUCACUGGGGCCAGCUGCUUUGGAGCCCCUCAUUUUCUGAGCCUUUGGAGUUCUGCCAUGCUCCGGGAUUUCACCUGCAGAGAAAACAGGGUGGGUCUGGGAUCACCAGCCUUCAUUCACCUCAGUGGAACCUCAGAGUUCUGUCAAUUUUUACAUUUAUUACUACCACAAAUAAUUCUUACUCAGAGAAAAAAUUAUACAGCUGGCCAGGCGCAGUGACUCACGCCUGUAAUCCCAGCACUUUGGGAGGCCGAGGUGGGCGGAUCAUGAGGUCAGGAGUUCGAGACCAGUCUGGCCAACAUGGUGAAACCCCGUUUCUACUAAAAAUACAAAAAUUAGCCGGGUGUGUUGGCUCAUGCCUGUAAUCCCAGCUACUCGGGAGGCUGAGGCAGGAGAAUCGUUUGAACCCAGGAGGCGGAGGUUGCAGUGAGCUGAGAUCCUACCACUGCAUGAUCUAGCCUGAGUGACAGAGAAAGACUCCAUCUCAGAAAAAAAUAAAUAAAUAAAAAAUAAAUUAUACAGCCAAACCAAGACAAAGGAUUAAAUUUGCUCUGAAGCUUAUCAUCUAGAGAUAACCACUGUUAAUAUUUUGAAGCAUAUUUUUCCAAGGCUUUUAAAUGCAAAUAUUUUAAAUAUUUUGUUAAAAAAUAAAAUGGAAAAUGUAAGACAUAUUGUUAAUCUGCAUUUUCACUUAGGAAUAUGUUAUUAUCAUUCUAUGUCAAGAAAUACAUGUGCACCAACAUUUUAUUUUAUUUUUUGAGACAGAGUCUCACUCUGUUGCCUAGGCUGGAGUGCAGUGGCACGAUCUUGGCUCACUGCAACCUCCGCCUCCUGUUCAAGUGAGUCUCAUACCUCAGCCUCCCAAGUAGCUGGAAUUACAGGCUCAUGCCACCACACCCAGCUAAUUUUUGUAUUUUUUGUAGAGACGGGAUUUCACCAGGCUGGUCUCAAACUCCUGACCUCAAGUGGUCCGCCCACCUCAGCCUUCCAAAGUGCUGGGAUUACAGGUGUGAGCCACCGCACCCUGCCUACACCAACUUUUUUUUUUUUUUUUUUGAGACAGAGUUUCACUCUGUCACCCAGGCUGGAGUGCAGUGGCACCAUCUCGGCUCACUGCAACCCCUGCCUUUCAGGUUCAAACAAUUCUCAUGCCUCAAUCUCCCAAGUAGCUGGGACUAUAGGUGUGCACUACCGUACCCAGCUAAUUUUUGUAUUUUUAGUAGAAACGUGGUUUCGCCAUGUUGGUCAGGCUGAUCUCAAACUCCUGACCUCAGGUGAUCCGCCCACCUCAGCCUCCCAAAGUGCUGGGAUUACAGGCAUGAGCCACCACGCCUGGCCCUGCAACAACAUUUUAAAUGACCUGCAUGGUAUUUUAUGGUAGGGAUGUAUCAUGAUUUAUUUCUUCAUUGUUGAGUAUUUAGGUUAUUUCAUAUUCUUAACCGAAAUAAACAAUUCUGGAAUAAACAUCUUGUGCAUGCACCUUUGAAUAGAUCACUUCCUUAGAAUGAAUUCCUUAGAAGGAGAACUGCUGGUGGGCCCUGGAAGGGAUUCUACACAUUGUUUUUUCCAAGCUUGUACCAAGAUUUCAAAACCUUCUAGAAUAUGCUACAAAAGAGGUCAUUCAACAUGAGGUUAAAUAUGCCUAAUGAUAGGGAACUCAGCACUUAACAGUACCAAUAGCUACCACUGGCAAAGCCUACAGUAUUUCUGGAACAGUACUAGCCCCUUAAAAUACAUUUUCUUAUUUCACUCUCUUAAUGACUGCAAAGAAGGUAUUCUGAUUUUACAGGUGAGGCAUGUGAGGCUUAUAGA